AAGACGGGGUAUGGUCUAUGACAUGUGCUUAAUCCCUUAAAGAGAAAGAAAAAAGCCUCAGCCUUUUUGCACCUUCAGAAACUCUAUUAUACUUGAAAAUAUCACAAAUUUGGAAGAAACUGGCUAUGUGUUGGUGUGGAUCUUCACUAGGCAAUCCUCCAAAUUGACAAGUAGGUUAGAUCAAGUGUAGUAUUGCUAACUUGAUCUCAAAGUUAUUAGCUUGAACAACAGGUCUCAAAAUGCUUGGACUUGUGUCUUCCAAUGAUGGCAUGGCAUAGUCUCUCAUGGUGCGAAUAGGUUGAUCACCUCUAGCGCCAUUAUUUUUCUCACCUCCUUCAAGAAGAUUGUUUUAAUUUUCUGCCAUGUUGAGUUUACGAUUUGCUCUUCUUCUUGAAUGAAAAGUUUGUUCAAGUUCUAG
rnacentral:lncRNA from 1 species